GACGAACGCUGGCGGCGUGCUUAACACAUGCAAGUCGAACGGUGAAGCGCUUUCCUUUUUGGUUGGUGUGGUUGAGUGGCGAACGGUUGAGUAACACGUUAGUAACCUGCCCCCUUCUUCUGGAUAACCGCAUGAAAUUGUUGCUAAUACGGGUUAUUCUGCGCCUGCUGCAUGGUGGGUGUGUGUAAGAUUGUGCCUUUGGUUGUUUUCGUUGGGGGUUGGGCUCGCGGCCUAUCAGCUUGUUGGUGGUGUGAUGGCCUACCAAGGCGGUGACGGGUAGGGGGCAUGAGAGGGAGGAAGGUGACAGUGGGACUGAGAAACGGAGGAGAAUCGUACGGGAGGGAGGAGUGGGGAAUAUAGCAGAAGGGGAGCAAGCAUGAUGAAGCGACGCGGAGUGAGGGAUGGAGGCGUUCGGGAUGUGAACCUCUUUGGAAAGAGAAGCAGGCGUGCUAGUUGUGGGUGGGUUGACGGUAGCUGGAUAAGAAGCGCCGGCUAACUACGUG
rnacentral:rRNA from 1 species